UGGGGAAUAUUGCACAAUGGGCGCAAGCCUGAUGCAGCGACGCCGCGUGGGGGAUGACGGCCUUCGGGUUGUAAACUCCUUUCGCUAGGGACGAAGCUUUUUGUGACGGUACCUAGAUAAGAAGCACCGGCUAACUACGUGCCAGCAGCCUCGGUAAUACGGAGGGUGCGGGCGUUGUCCGGAAUUACUGGGCGUAAGGGGCUCGUAGGUGGCUUGUCGCGUCGUCUGUGAAAUUCCGGGGCUUAACUCCGGGCGUGCAGGCGAUACGGGGGUAACUUGAGUACUGUAGGGGUAACUGGAUUUCCUGGUGUAGCGGUGAAAUGCGCAGAUAUCAGGAGGAACACCGAUGGCGAAGGCAGGUUACUGGGCAGUUACUGACGCUGAGGAGCGAAAGCAUGGGUAGCGAACAGG
rnacentral:rRNA from 1 species